AUUGAACGCUGGCGGCAGGCCUAACACAUGCAAGUCGAGCGAGCGGCGGACGGGUGAGUAAUGUCUGGGAAACUGCCUGAUGGAGGGGGAUAACUACUGGAAACGGUAGCUAAUACCGCAUACCAUCAGAUGUGCCCAGGUGGGAUUAGCUAGUAGGUGGGGAAAUGGCUCACCUAGGCGACGAUCCCUAGCUGGUCUGAGAGGAUAACCAGCCAAACUGGAACUAAGACACGGCCCAGACUCCUACGGGGGGAAGAGGUGGGAAAUUGUGCACAAUGGGGACAAGCUGGAUGCAGACAGGCGGCUUGUGUGAGGAAGGCCUUCGGGUUGUAAGGCACGUUCAGCGGGGAGGCGUUACCCGAAGAGAAAGCACCGGCUAACUACGUGCCAGCAGCCGCGGUAAUAC
rnacentral:rRNA from 1 species